CACUUUGUUUAUUUAUGAUCUUUACGAUCAUAUGGUUUUUAACAUACUGUUUUGUUUUGAUUUUCUUGUUUUGAUUUAUGCAUGAGAAUUAUUAAUGAAUGAGUAUAAGAGUUUUUGUCUGAGCUAAAUGUGGUCAGGGUUCGGAAAACUAUUUGUGGAAAAUAAAUCUUAAAAUACUCAAACAGUGGGUAAAUAACUUGUUUUGGAGGAAAUUUUUUUGAGAUUAUAAAAUUUUAAACAUUAAAAAGUUAUAUCCAAAUGCAACAUGAACUUUUAUCAUCAUGUUGUUUUAGAAUAUUUCAUGCACUUCCUUAUCAUCAGUCUGCAUGAUGACUGAACCAUUCAACAGCAAUAUUUAAUUGAGUCUUGACUAAAUAUAGUCUAAUUAUAGUGGCAACAUAAUAUACUGAUUUUAUGGCAACCUAAUAUAAUUAAUUGACAAUUAAUUGACAUUUAAUGUCAAAUUUUUUCUAAAUUUUAUAAACAUUAAGUUUCUUGGUCAGAAGAAAAUUUAUAGAAGAUCCUUUUCCUGUAUAUCUUUGAACUGAAGACAUCAAAUUUUCAGAUAGUCGGAAAAAAAUCUUAAAAUUUUCCAAGUCAUCAAAGUAUAAUUUUAUACUUUUUCUUAAAAUUUUUCAUCGAAAAACUAGAAUUUAUACUCCAUCAGGAAAAGGUUUCUGCCACGAUUUUCUCCAAUUUUACUUGGCACCUUAAAUUUAUUGGACUCAACCCACUUAAUCCAACUCAAUCAGUGAAUUGGAUUAAUCUUGCUUUGGAAUCCCUUUAUAGUAAAUGAAAUUUACAAAGUUACCAGUAACAAUCACUCAUUUUUGCAUUCCGAACACAAUUCCCAUACCUGGCGAGGGAAUCCUCUUCCAGGGGAUUUCUUAAAUGAGUCACCAGAACGAUCUCUAGCCGGAGAUUGCGCAAUGCUAGUGUUCUCUUUUCAUUUAACUCCAACAUAAACUCAUCAGGCAGCUCUAAAAUCCUCUUGAAACAACAACAACAAUAUUAAUAAAACCACCACCAAAAAUCAUCAAACUCCGCAAAUUCUCAAAAACUCAAAAUAAAUAGUUCUCUUGCAAAAAUAAUAAAUCCCUAACAGUUCAAUCAAACCAAAAGUUAAAGAAAAGUGCAAAACAAAAUCAAGAAGAAUUAAACAAAACAGUGGUUCCGAAACAUGUAAAAGAGCAUAAAACCCAGUGAUUCCCAAAAUGUUAUUGUCAAAGGAGAUUUAUUAAUUAACUAUUUUUUUAGAGUGUUAAAAUAGAUGAAUGUAUUUAUAUUAAUUGAAAAGAAAAUUC